rnacentral:rRNA from 2 species
CUUGCUCCAUGAUUCAGCGGCGGACGGGUGAGUAAUGCCUAGGAAUCUGCCUGGUAGUGGGGGACAACGUUUCGAAAGGAACGCUAAUACCGCAUACGUCCUACGGGAGAAAGUGGGGGAUCUUCGGACCUCACGCUAUCAGAUGAGCCUAGGUCGGAUUAGCUAGUUGGUGAGGUAAAGGCUCACCAAGGCGACGAUCCGUAACUGGUCUGAGAGGAUGAUCAGUCACACUGGAACUGAGACACGGUCCAGACUCCUACGGGAGGCAGCAGUGGGGAAUAUUGGACAAUGGGCGAAAGCCUGAUCCAGCCAUGCCGCGUGUGUGAAGAAGGUCUUCGGAUUGUAAAGCACUUUAAGUUGGGAGGAAGGGCAGUAAGUUAAUACCUUGCUGUUUUGACGUUACCGACAGAAUAAGCACCGGCUAACUUCGUGCCAGCAGCCGCGGUAAUAC